rnacentral:SRP_RNA from 1 species
GCCAGGCGUAGCGGUGCGUACCUGUAGUCCCAGCUACUCGGGAGGCUGAGGUGGGAGGAUCACUUGAGCCCAGGAGUUCUGGGCUGUAGUGUGCUAUGCUGAUUGGAUGUCCGCACUAAGUUCAGCAUCAAUAUGGUGACCUCUUGGAAGCAGGGACCACAAGGUUGCCUAAGGAGGGGUGAACCGGCCGAGGCCGGAAUGGAUCAGAUCAAAACUCCUGUGCUGAUCAGUAGUGGGAUCGCACCUGUGAAUAGCCACUGCACUCCAGUCUGGGCAACAUGGUGAGACCCUGUCUCU